AAAAAUAACUUCAUUUUAGGUGCCCUUUGGGGAGAAUAGGGAAGUUCGGUUCAAAACCGACGCGGACCCACCACUGUAUUCGAUGAGCUUUGUUACCACUGGCACUAUGCUGGGAAGGUAACAAAAUAAAGCCGUGAUUCGAUAGCCAGGAGACCUGCCUAAAAUGUUUAAGUCUC
rnacentral:ncRNA from 2 species